rnacentral:misc_RNA from 1 species
AGCUGGAUCAUUUUUCCGAUUUGGAAACAAUGUUUCAAACAACACUUGCGGCCUGCGCUCUCACAACUUCGGUUGGCGGGGGUCGGGCUUACAACAAAAACAAAACACACGCCAACUUUGUUGGUGGUGUGUCCUGCCGCUUCACGGGUUUCUCCUUUUGACUCCUGUGGAGCACGGCUCCCACAACGUGUCGCGAUGGAUGACUUGGCUUCCCAUUUCGUUGAAGAACGCAGCAAAGUGCGAUAAGUGGUAUCAAUUGCAGAAUCUCUUAUUUACCGAAUCUUUGAACGCAAAAGGCGCCCGGGAAGACGUUCUCUACGAACUAUCCCCGUGCAUGCCGUAUCGCUCAGUGUCGAAAACAAACAAAAUACCCGCAAAAAUUUUUUUUUUGCGAGUUGGAAUGAAAUGCAACAGAGUCCCACUUUUCCAUGGGCAAGUUGGCUUCACGGCUGACGUCCACGUGGGCGCUCCAUUCCGGGACCUUCCUUUCGGGGAUGCUCUCGGAGCAAAAUGCAACACAAAAAACACAGAAAGAAUGUCUCCCAACACGAGCACACUUUUUCAAAAGUUUUCAUUUUACAGACCUGAGUGCGGCAGGACCACCCGCUAAACUUAAGCAUAUUACUCAGCGGAGGAAAAGAAAACAACCGUGAUUCCCUUAGUCAGCGGCGAGCGAAGAGGGAACGAACUCGUUGCCGAAUCGGACCCUAUACGGUCUUGAACUGUGGCAAUUUUCAAGUUGUGCACAAUGGUUGGUGCGGGAUUGGCAAAAUUCAAGCGCAAAGCAAACCCAUUGCUGAAUGCAACCUUUCAUGAGAGUAUUGAGCCAAAGAAGGUGUUAGCCCAUUGAGCCAACAACCCAUGCGCCUCAUAGCACAGCUAAGAGAGUAGCACUGCUUGGGACUGCAGUGUAAAGCGGCAGGUAUGUGUCUGCCAAGGUUAAAUACAGAGUGGGAAGACCGAUAUCGAACAAGUAGCGUGAGCGAAAGUUUGAAAAGCACUUUGGAAAGAGAGUGACAUAGAACCUGAAGUCGCGACAAUGGCAAUGGAAGUGCCUCCAUUCCACUGGUCAAGACCAGCUUCGCAGCGAUUUCUUGGCGGACCAUUUCAACCCGUCGAGCAUUAUCUGCUGACCCGAAGUUUUGGUGAUUGAAACACGCGGGAGCAAGCGGAGUACCGAUUCCUCGGCGACAUUGCGCAAGCGUGCCGCAGGGUGAACGUUGCCCGUUUCCCGCUGGAUUCUCUCAAAAUUGACACUGAACGAAUGGGGUACUUCCACCCGUCUUGAAACACGGACCAAGGAGUCAAACAGACGCGCAAGGGGGAAGACUGAAAUAUUGAAAGCUUCUCUCGAACUGAAAGGGAGCAUGGUGUGCACAAGAAAUUGCUCAACACCAACCGGCCCGCACGCGGGUUGAGUUUGAGUGUGCCUGUUUGGACCCGAAAGGUGGUGAACUAUGCCUGAACAAGGUGAAGCCCGGGGAAACCCAGGUGGAGGCCUGUAGCGAUGCUGACGUGCAAAUCGCUCGCAAGAUUUAGGUAUCGGAGCGAAAGACUCAUCGAACCACCUAGUAGCUGGUUCACAU